CCUACGGGAGGCAGCAGUGGGGAAUAUUGGACAAUGGGCGGAAGCCUGAUCCAGCCAUGCCGCGUGUGUGAAGAAGGCCUUUUGGUUGUAAAGCACUUUAAGCGAGGAGGAGGCUACUUAGAUUAAUACUCUAGGAUAGUGGACGUUACUCGCAGAAUAAGCACCGGCUAACUCUGUGCCAGCAGCCGCGGUAAUACAGAGGGUGCGAGCGUUAAUCGGAUUUACUGGGCGUAAAGCGUGCGUAGGCGGCUGAUUAAGUCGGAUGUGAAAUCCCUGAGCUUAACUUAGGAAUUGCAUUCGAUACUGGUCAGCUAGAGUAUGGGAGAGGAUGGUAGAAUUCCAGGUGUAGCGGUGAAAUGCGUAGAGAUCUGGAGGAAUACCGAUGGCGAAGGCAGCCAUCUGGCCUAAUACUGACGCUGAGGUACGAAAGCAUGGGGAGCAAACAGGAUUAGAUACCCUGGUAGUCCAUGCCGUAAACGAUGUCUACUAGCCGUUGGGGCCUUUGAGGCUUUAGUGGCGCAGCUAACGCGAUAAGUAGACCGCCUGGGGAGUACGGUCGCAAGACUAAAACUCAAAGGAAUUGACGG
rnacentral:rRNA from 1 species